rnacentral:lncRNA from 1 species
GGACGGACACACAUUUUUUCAAGUAUGGUUAUAUUGACUCCUGGGACCUUAAAACGUCUAGAAAUGAUGAAAUUUCAACUUUUUUUUUUUUCUUCUUGGAGAAUGACAGUACUUCCUCUCUACCCUACACUGGAAAAAAAAGUAACUUGGAUCAAGCAUGAUAAUUCUUGAAUUUGCCGCCAAGAAUUUUUUUUAUCUAGCCUUAAGCUGACUUUUUCUUGAUUCAAGAAAAAUAAUGCUUGGGUUAAGCACAAAAGUAGCUUAUAUUAACCAGAAAAAUUCUUGAUUUAAGAAGGAAUACUUUUUGGCGGCAAAUUUAAGAUUCUUUUUUUUUUCAGUGUAGGGGAGCGAGAAAGUAAAAAGUGAGAUGGUAAAGGUACCAACGGACCUUGGUAAAAAUGCCGAGAAUUCUUUUUCAGUGCACGACAACGGAAGGAGCGACUUUACCUGGGUGCUUUCACGCGCUGCGGUGACAUCCCGUUUAGGGCUCCACAGGUGUCCGGGAGGCGCACGCGGCGGCGGCGAUGGGCGCGUGCGUGGCGACCGCGGCGCGGGCGUCCGGCGGGCGCCCCUCCCGGACCGGAGGGGGGGGGGGCGCCUGGAUGCAUCGCGGAUCCGCGGGGCGAGUCAAGUGUGUCGCGCCACACCGGUCGGCUCUAACGCUCCGCUCCUCCGCGAACAGUCCCCGGUUCCGAGGUCGCCUUUUGGAUUACCGUCAUCGGGAUUUUGUGCUUCUCCGCGCUUUCGCUACGCUCCGAUCGGUCCGUGCUCAAAUUAUGGUUCUCAGCGAGUUUACCGCGACCGCCCCGUAAAGGCCUCUCUCGGUAGCCGAGACGUCGAAAGUUAUGUUUUAUUAAACUGCUUUCCGCCGUCAAAGCGGGCCACCGCGCUCGCCCUGGUCGCCGAUGCGCGAGCGAGAGUGGCGCGAAUCAAACUCCAAGAACUUCCCCGGAUGCGGAAGGGAUCAUCUCAGACACAAAACAACACAUCUGCCGUGAUAGCGAAGAGAGCAGUAAGUGUCGAUUUUUCGAAAUCGAGUUUCCUUCAAAAUUCACUGAAAAACAAAUAUGGUAGAUUUUACCAUACUCAGACACAGUGAUACAUGUACGGUAAUAAACACCAGACUCUAUGGUAGCAUUUACCAUAUUGUGUUAAGUAUCACUAGAGCUCUGGUGAAUAUUACCGUAAUUCUGGUCAUUUUCGCUAAAUAGUAUCACCGUGUAAAAAAGCAAGUAAACUUAUAGUAGAUGUUAUCAUACUUUUUUUCAGUGUUCGUCCAUCUCUUUUAGAUGAAAUCACUGAAAUAGCUAAAACAGUAAAAUUCAUCUUAAUGGAGGAUUUGCAUGAACAUUUUUUGCUUCAUCUGAAAGUGCUCAAAGAGCUGAUUUCACAGUUUUUUUUUAAAAAAAAAAAAUUUCUGAUAUGGGAAACAGUAAGACAAUAGAUUUAAAAGUGAGAAAAUGCACCGCCUAGUGCCGUCAUCUGGCGGCAUUUCACAUUUAUCACACGUAUUUUAGCAGAUUAGAUCAUUUCGUCAGAUCUUCUCCAAUUAAUAAUUGUUUAAUUCAUGGACCAAGGGUAUCCUCGUGUUCAGUUCACUUGGUAGAUUCCACAUUAACACGGAAUUCAUAACAUUUGAGACACCUGCAAAUUCUCUAUUGCAUUAGGACGAGACACGUGAGAAAUCCGUAAGAACGCAAAAAAUGAUGUAGUUCCACGUAAGACAGCAGUAAGCGGCAAUAUUCCUCCAGAAAAACGAUAAAACAGUUCUUUCAAGUGAAGUGCCACCCUCUUCUGCUAAUUUCUAACCUGAAAAUGUGUUUUUUGUGUGUCUGGAGAGCAACCACGAACGCAUGCAGAAGAUGGCGCUCACGGCUGUCUUGCGUAACAUUAGCCUGGGAUGAAAAUGAAAAAUACCCUUUUUAUUUAAUUGAAAUAAAAUCAGUCGAUUUUGAAUCAUCCGUACGAUUUCUAGAAGUCUUUCGGACGAUUAUUGGCAAUUUGUCAAAGAACGGAUGCAUUUUUUAAUUAAAUUUUCCGGUCAGAAGCUUCUGAGACAGUUUUCUCAAAACUUCAUGUUUGCACUUACUGCGCUCUUCGCUAUCACGGUAGAACACAUCUUGUGUUCCAGCGUUUCUCGUGCAAAUGACGCAGUGAUAUCUUCCGAGCUUACACAAGGUGCAACACUAAUAUCUUAACUUGUGAAACGUGAAAAGCGCCGAUUAUUAUUUGAUAUAUCUCAAUCGAACGGACUAAAAUGUGUGAAGUUACGUGUCAACUCGGCCAUUUGUGUGACGUUUUCUCAUAUUCGUCACACAUCAUGUGGACAAUAACCUGGAGACCGAACCGUGCCCGUGUUUUUGAGCGAACAGAUUGUUUGGACUGGUUUUUUUGUGCGUAACUGAAUCUCUUUCGUUACCAUCUAACUUACAGCGCUAUAUUCAACCUUCCGUCCGCAACGUUUCUCUUUGUUUCAAUCAGUGCUCAUGAUUGUUCGCCCAUCUCAACUCGAUCGGUUUCAAUCGAUAUCGUACCUUCCACUUUAUUCACGCGUUUAGUGGCCAACAAAAUGAAUCCAAUUCCGUCCAGGAACGUAGUCUAAAACCCCAUCAUAUUUGUUUGUCCGUCCAUCUGAAGCCGAUUGUGCUACUUGCGGUUUCUCAAUCGUUGAGAGUUCGGUUUGAUUGUGACGUCAAAAUUCACCACGCAACACCCUGCAUGUGUUAAGAACCAGUUCUCUUCUCGCGUCUUCUACCAGGAUUCUCAGCGUUUUACUGAAAACUGUGGAGUCUCUAUCGGAUUUUCAUCGGAUUUCUUGAUGAAAUGUCGCUGAAAUUGGAGUUUCGUCCGUGAACAUCUACCACGUUAUCGCCAAAGUUAAAUUUCAAACCCCAUGGUGUAAUCUCAGCUGUGUCUCGGUGUCCCCAAUGCUGGAGACGAUUUAACGAAACGGUUAAUUGAAAUAGCGAAACUUUCUUUCUCAUCUCAACACUAAACAGUUUCAUAUCGAGCGAGCUCAUCGGUUAAGGUCCUCGACCGCUUCAAUAAAUUUGUCAAUGGCCGUCUUACAUAUCAUUAACGUUAGGUGCGUUUGAUCUAAUCAUUAACGUUAGGUGCGUUCGACCUAAUCAUGAACGUUAGAUGCGUUUGACCUAAUCAUUAACGUAAGGUGCGUUUGGCCUAAUCAUUAACGUUAGGUGCGUUUGACCUAAUCAUUAACGUAAGGUGCGUUUGACCUAAUCAUGAACGUCAGGUGCGUUUGACCUAAUCAUUAACGUUAGGUGCGUUUGACCUAAUCAUUAACGUAAGGUGCGUUUGACCUAAUCAUAAACGUUAGGUGCGUUUGACCUAAUCAUUAACGUAAGGUGCGUUUGACCUAAUCAUGAACGUUAGGUGCGUUUGACCUAAUCAUUAACGCAAGGUGCGUUUGACCUAAUCAUGAACGUCAGGUGCGUUUGACCUAAUUAUCACCGUUAGGUGCAUUUGACCUAAUCAUGAACGUUAGGUGCGUUUGACCUAUGCUGGUUCAAAGUGGUGCUGUCAUCUAUCUCCGACUCUUUCUUGUGCGGUCGAAUCUGUGACUUUCCGUUCGAGGACACGAUGCAGCUAUAAGCGGUCUGAAAAUGAGUGACAUGUCGGGAUCGGAGUAGUAAAAGCUCCCCUUGUGUGGUUCGGUGUUCGGCGGGCAGUAUGUUGAAGUCGGUGCUGUGCAAGUCGGGCUCCUCGCUGGACAUCAGCAGCCUGGAGGGGGAGCAGGAGAGGCAGUUGCCGCGAGAGGGCAAGCUCCGGCGGGUCUUCACUACGCAUGCGCGGCGCCGCUCGUCCCGCGGGAGCAAGAAGGAGGCUCCGCCCGGGAGCGGUUUCAACCUCAGCCGAAUGAUGAAGGAGCCUCUCAGAGUCGUCCAUUCCGUCCCGCUCAGCUACUCCAACGGGUGAGUUCUCUCCUCAGUUUUCAUCAGAGUACCUUUAUAGACAGAGUAUGGCCAUUCGUAUCUUUUUACAACACACUGAAAAAAAAAAUCUCGGUGUAUUUACUAAGAAAAGGGUAAAAUUGCCUAGAAUUCAGGGUUCUAUUUGAUCCCAGUUUUUUCUUGGUAAAAUUACCACUUAUGGAAUUGGUAAUUUUACCGAAAAAUCUCGGUAAAAUUAUUGAACUUUCUCGGUAAUUUUACUGGAUCUUGGUAAAAACACCAAUAUUUGUUAUCGACUGUGGUAGAAUUACCGAGAUAAAAUGGCAAAGUUACCGGGAAUUGAUUACCAAUAAAAGUAGUGGUAUUCUUACCUGAAAAAAAACAGUAAAAAUGCCGGUUUUUAGGUAAGCUUACCAGUCUGUCUUGGUAAAAUUACCAAUAAUUGGUAAAAAAAGUGAGAUGGUAAAGAUACCUACGGACCUUGGUAAAAACGCCGAGAAUUUUUUUUCAGUGCAGGAAAACUGUGCCGCUUUUUGAUUGGUCAAAGAGUUUUUAGGCUUCAUGAUGCUCUUACGGCCGUAAAUAAACAAACAAGAUGGCGGCUCAUCGUAACAUCGAUAAGAAGCUAAAAUUUGACAGAAA